rnacentral:tRNA from 1 species
UAUCUCAGUUGGUAAAGAAUCUGCCUGCAGUGCAGGAGACCCUGGUUCGAUCCCUGG